rnacentral:rRNA from 1 species
ACGAACGCUGGCGGCAUGCCUAACACAUGCAAGUCGAACGAGACCUUCGGGUCUAGUGGCGCACGGGUGCGUAACGCGUGGGAACCUGCCCUUAGGUUCGGAAUAACUCCCCGAAAGGGGUGCUAAUACCGGAUAAUGUCUUCGGACCAAAGAUUUAUCGCCUUUGGAUGGGCCCGCGUUGGAUUAGCUAGUUGGUAGGGUAAAAGCCUACCAAGGCGACGAUCCAUAGCUGGUCUGAGAGGAUGAUCAGCCACACUGGGACUGAGACACGGCCCAGACUCCUACGGGAGGCAGCGGUGGGGAAUAUUGGACAAUGGGCGAAAGCCUGAUCCAGCAAUGCCGCGUGAGUGAUGAAGGCCUUAGGGUUGUAAAGCUCUUUUACCCGGGAUGAUAAUGACAGUACCGGGAGAAUAAGCUCCGGCUAACUCCGUG